rnacentral:lncRNA from 1 species
AGGUGGCGCCGCUUCAGCGCUUUGAUUCAACUGGAGAAAGGAUAAAGUGUCCAAACACAGAGAAAAACUCCUGCUGAAGUGACUGAUCUCCACACUGUUAUUAAGAUGGCGUUCAUUAAAGAGGAGAGUGAAGAUGUGAAGAUUGAAGAAACAUUCACAGUCAAACAGGAAGAUCUGCAGGAACAAACAGACCUAAUUGGAGAGAAGGAGGGGAGUAAAGAGGAGGAACAUCAUGUUAAAAUUGAGGACAAAACUCAUUUACAGACUGAUGGUAUUUUGAAAAGGAGAGACGGGAAUCGUUUCACUUGCACUCAGUGUGGAAAGAUUUUGGGAAGCAAAAGCAAACUUAAGAUUCACAUGAGCAUCCACACAGGAGAGAAACCAUUUACAUGCACUCAGUGUGGGAAGAGUUUCAGCAAAUCAUCAUCCCUUAAUCAACACAUGAGGAUCCACACUGGAGAGAAACCAUUCACAUGCACUCUGUGUGGGAAGAGUUUUAGCUUAUCAUCAUCCCUUAAUCUACACAUGAGGAUCCACACUGGAGAAAAACCAUUUACAUGCACUCGGUGUGGGAAGAGUUUCAACUGCUCAUCAAACCUUAGUAAACACAUGAUGAUCCACACUGGAGAAAAACCAUUCACGUGCACUCAGUGUGAGAAGAGUUUUAGGAUAUCAUCAUCCCUUAAUCUACACAUGAGGAGCCACACUGGAGAGAAACCAUUCACAUGCACUCAGUGUGGGAAGAGUUUCAGCCAAUCAUCAUCUCUUAAUAAGCACAUGAGGAUCCACACUGGAGAGAAACCAUUCACAUGCACUCAGUGUGGGAAGAGUUUCAACCGAUCAGAACACCUUAAUCUACACAUGAGGAUCCAUACCGGAGAGAAAUCAUUCACUUGCACUGAGUGUGAGAAGAGUUUUACCUGCUCAUCAAACCUUAAUCUACACAUGAGGAAACACACUGGAGAGAAACCAUACGCAUGCACUCAGUGUGGGAAGAUUUUCAGCCAAUCAUCAUGCCUUAAUCUACACAUGGUAAGCCACAACGGAGAGAAACCAUGACCUACGAAACUCUGACGGACUCUGACCUGCGAAAUCGCAUCACUUGACUGUGUGAGACCAAUCGAAGAUCAAAACAUGACCUCUCUGGACCGAAAUUUAAAAAAAUGUACCAAUCGCUCACUUUUUAAAAUGUCUAAUCAUCUUGUUUGUUCCCGCUCCUUUUCGCAACGCCGUACAACAGAAUUUUGCAUGCUCAAACUCUAUUGUGACCGCAGCUUCGGUGUGGGAUGAGUUUCAGCACAUCCUCAGACCUUAAUAAACGCAUGAAGACCCACACUGGGAAGAAACCAUUGACAUUCACUCAGUGUAAGAAGAGUUUUAACCGAUCAGCAAACCUUAAUGAACACAUGAAGAUCCACACUGGUGUGAAAGAGUAUAUGUGUUUUGAAUGUGAGAAGACUUUUAUUACAAAAUUGAAACUGCACCAGAUGUUUUACACUUGAGAGACCAUACAAGUGUUCACACUGUGACAAGAGGUUUAAUCAGUGAACACUUCUGAAUCACACAAAAGAGGAUUCACACUGGAGAGAAACUGUACAUCUGAAAUCUGAUGUGUCUACAGAAUUGGACAAAAAGUUGCACACAUUACAUGAAUGCAGCAAAACAUUUUCUCGUGUAGGGAUGUCCUGAUACAAAAUUUUAACUUCCGAUACGAUACCGAUAUUGCAGCCUUCAGUACGAACCGAUACCGAUAUAUAUCCGAUAUCAGCAAAAAUCAUAAAUACUUUACUUUUUUAAUUUUAUAAAAUAUCUUAAUUGAAUAAACAAAAAUACAUUUUUAAAGUGCAAAAUGCUAAUUAAAGGUCAUUUCAGUUAUACAUUUUUUUUAAUCAUAAAAUCGUAGAAACAGCUGAGAGCAGGAACAUAUGAAAAAAAUAUUGUUAAUUGAACAACUGCUAAAGGUUCAGUGUCCAAAGUUUCGAUUUCAAACACAGCUUUUUGGUGAAUUUUUGUUCCAGUUGAGCUGCAAAAUAUCUUUCAAGCUGGGCUCCAGAAAUAAGUUAUUGUUAAUU